rnacentral:rRNA from 1 species
ACUUAGCCAUGCAAGUCGAACGCUUCCUAGCCGCCGGAGGAGGCGUGGCGUACGGCUCAGUAACAUAUGGUCAACCUACCCCAUGGACGGUGACAACGUCGGGAAAUUGACGCUAAUAACCGAUAGGGAAAAGGACCUGGAAUGGCCUUUUCCUCAAAGGCCGGGGGAACCGUGCAUUCCCCGGUGUCAUGGGAUGGGACCGUAGCCGAUCAGGUAGAUGGUGGGGUAACGGCCCACCAUGCCGAUAACCGGUACGGGCCCUGAGAGGGGGAGCCCGGAGAUGGAUCCUGAGACAAGGAUCCAGGCCCUACGGGGCGCAGCAGGCGCGAAACCUCCGCUAUACGCGAAAGCGUGACGGGGUCACCCCGAGUGUCAGCCGCUGAGGCCGACUUUUCCUCAGUCCAAAAGGCUGGGGGAAUAAGGGGAGGGCAAGAUUGGUGUCAGCCGCCGCGGUAAAACCAACUCCCCGAGUGGUCGGGACAAUUACUGGGCUUAAAGCGUCCGUAGCUGGUCUGACAAGUUCCUCGUUAAAUCCGACGCCCCAAACGUCGGGCUGCGGGGAAUACUGUUAGACUUGGGAGCGGAAGAGGCCGGCGGUACUUCCUGGGGAGGGGUAAAAUCCUCAGAUCCAGGGAGGACCAUCAGUGGCGAAGGCGGCCGGCCAGGACGUGUCCGACGGUGAGGGACGAAAGCUAGGGGAGCGAUCCGGAUUAGAUACCCGGGUAGUCCUAGCUGUAAACGAUGCAGGCUAGGUGUGUGGGUGGCUACGGGCUGCCCAUGUGCCGUAGAGAAAUCGUUAAGCCUGCCGCCUGGGGAGUACGGUCGCAAGGCUGAAACUUAAAGGAAUUGGCGGGGGAGCACCAC